rnacentral:lncRNA from 1 species
CGUUUGAUGGUGCCGUUGUAGAUGUUAAUCUGCUCUUGCUGACUUUUCUUGAUUUCUGACGCGGUUGAAUGAUCAUAGGGUUUUUAGUUAUGUUUAAUCAAGAUGGUAGAACAUGCAAGGAGGAGAGAGAGAGAGAGAAAGAGAGAGAUAGACUUUUAAGUCUUGCUGGUUUAUGUAGGCUACCUUCCCAUGAUAGUGUAGGCAUGAAAUGGAACAAGAUUUCCAAUAUUGAUAAUUGCUAGUGGAAG